CCGAAUGACCUGCUCCUGGGACAACCUAUAAUUACACAGCAGAAAUUGUCAGUUGCCAAUAAUGACCGUGGAUGCAAGGGAUCUCAAGUCUCAAAGCAAGGACUAUUCUCUUGACCUGGGUUGUCAAAUAUCAAAAUCAUUGUGUCAAGUUGUUCAACGUGGAGUGGGGAUUAAGAGGGUGGUUGGAUUGACUUUUUUUAAGUGGCUUAUAAGCUAAAAGUCAUAAGUUGGGAACACCCUAACAUUUGGCUUUUGCUUCUUUUUUUACUUUUUUAGCCUAAAGAAAAGUGCUUAAAACACUUUUUGUGCUUCCCAAACACUUCCUAAACUAAAAAAAAGAGCUUAAAAGCCAAAAACUACUUAAAAUAAGUCAAUCCAAAUACCCACUAACAUUCUUGAGCUCAUUUGGAACUACGGGACUACCAUUAGCUAGGAAGCACCUGAGCUCUAUACAACUACAUUUCACGAUGCAAGUACGAAUCAUCAAGAUGACAAGGCUCCAUGCUAGGCAAUUUCAUUGGUGAGCGCCAUUUGAUUUACGAGGCAUUUUCUUUUCUUAUUACAUGUAUUACGUACUUUUUUACCCACCCAAUGUUGGAGCCUUGUCCUGAUACUUCUACUUCUUAUGCAAAGUUUUAGAGGCUUCAUAGAUGUAGUAACUCAUUUCAUGAACAUAUGUUUUGGGCCUUACCUUUAUGUUGCAUGACACGAUACUCAUGAUUUUUUCUACUUUGAGACUCACUAUUUUAUUUGAUAAGAAACGUACUUAAAUCAAUUGAUGGAAAUGUUUUCAUAUUGUCCCAUGCAUUGUUCUUGUUCAUGAAUGCCAUGUAGAGUUGGUCUGCUCGGUCAAGUUAAGGAACCGGGUGCGGGUACGGCCCACCGAGGGUUUGGGCGUGACACAUGCUUUCAUCUUAUUUCAUGUGUUUAGAAUUACGAGUUGGAGAUCUCUAUGCUUUUGGG